rnacentral:rRNA from 1 species
GACGUAGGAUGCAAGCGUUGUCCGGAUUUAUUGGGCGUAAAGAGUUCGUAGGCGGUCUGUUAAGUCUGGUGUUAAAGAUCGAGGCUCAACCUCGGGAGUGCAUUGGAUACUGGCAGGCUGGAGUAUGGUAGAGGUGAGUGGAAUUCCCAGUGUAGCGGUGAAAUGCGUAGAUAUUGGGAAGAACACCGGUGGCGUAAGCGACUCACUGGGCCAUAACUGACGCUGAGGAACGAAAGCCAGGGGAGCGAAU